rnacentral:rRNA from 1 species
GACAGAGGGGGCAAGCGUUGCUCGGAAUUACUGGGCGGAAAGGGCGCGUAGGCGGGAUGGCAAGUCGGUCGUGAAAUCCCUCGGCUCAACCGAGGAACGUCGAUCGAUACUGCUGUUCUUGAGGAUUGCAGAGGAGACUGGAAUUCCCGGUGUAGCGGUGAAAUGUGUAGAGAUCGGGAGGAACACCGGUGGCGAAGGCGGGUCUCUAGUACGGUACUGACGCUGAGACGCGAAAGCGUGGGGAGCGAACAGG